UCCGGUUUAACACCGGCAGUCUCUCUAGAGUCCCCGGCAUGACCCGCUGGCAACUAGAGACAAGGGUUUCGCUCGUUAAGCGACUUAACGCGACAUCUCACGACACGAGCUGACGACAGCCAUGCAGCACCUGUGCACGUUCCACUCUUGCGAGCGUGGCCCGGCUUUCACCGGGUUUAUCCGUACAUGUCAAGGGUAGGUAAGGUUUUUCGCGUUGCAUCGAAUUAAUCCACAUAAUCCACCGCUUGUGCGGGUCCCCGUCAAUUCCUUUGAGUUUUAACCUUGCGGCCGUACUCCCCAGGCGGUCAACUUCAUGCGUUAGCUUCGUUACCAAGGAAUUGCUUCCCCGACAACCAGUUGACAUAGUUUAGGGCGUGGACUAC
rnacentral:misc_RNA from 1 species